rnacentral:rRNA from 1 species
UGGGGAAUAUUGGACAAUGGGGGGAACCCUGAUCCAGCCAUGCCGCGUGUGUGAAGAAGGCCUUAUGGUUGUAAAGCACUUUAAGCGAGGAGGAGGGUACUGGUAUUAAUACUACCAGCUACUGGACGUUACUCGCAGAAUAAGCACCGGCUAACUCUGUGCCAGCAGCCGCGGUAAUACAGAGGGUGCGAGCGUUAAUCGGAUUUACUGGGCGUAAAGCGUGCGUAGGCGGCUAAUUGAGUCGGAUGUGAAAUCCCCGAGCUUAACUUGGGAAUUGCAUUCGAUACUGGUUAGCUAGAGUGUGGGAGAGGAUGGUAGAAUUCCAGGUGUAGCGGUGAAAUGCGUAGAGAUCUGGAGGAAUACCGAUGGCGAAGGCAGCCAUCUGGCCUAACACUGACGCUGAGGUGCGAAAGCGUGGGGAGCAAACAGG